GAUGAACGCUGGCGGCGUGCCUAAUACAUGCAAGUCGAACGAGGUCUUCGGACCGAGUGGCGAACGGGUGAGUAACACGUUGGUACCUACCCCGAAGUGGGGAAUAACUGGCCGAAAGGUCGGCUAAUACCGCAUAAUACCGCAAGGUUAAAGCAGUAAUGCGCUUCGGGAGGGGCCUGCGUCCCAUUAGCUAGUUGGUGAGGUAAUUGCUCACCAAGGCAACGAUGGGUAGCUGGAUCGAGAGGUUGACCAGCCACACUGGGACUGAGAUACGGCCCAGACUCCUACGGGAGGCAGCAGUAAGGAAUCUUCCACAAUGGACGAAAGUCUGAUGGAGCAACGCCGCGUGCAGGAUGACGGCCUUGGUUG
rnacentral:rRNA from 1 species